rnacentral:tRNA from 1 species
GUGGUAGCUCAGUGGUAGAGCGCUCGCCUCGUACGUGCUGGACCCUGGGUUCAAUCCUCAGAACCACA